UCUAUGGCCAUGCCACCCUGAACGUCCCUGAUCUCGUGAAGCUAAGCAGGGUUGGGCCUGGUUGGUACUUGGAUGGGAGAAUUCAGUUCAACCCUAAUAGAA
rnacentral:rRNA from 1 species